GACGAACGCUGGCGGCGUGCUUAACACAUGCAAGUCGAACGAAAAGGCCCUGCUUUUGUGUGGUUCUCGAGUGGCGAACGGGUGAGUAACACGUGUGUAUCCUGUACUUGACUUUCUGAUAUCUUUAGGAAACUGCGGCUAAUACCGGAUAUGAUCUCCUGCUGCAUGGUGUUGGUUGGAAAGUUUCGGCGUUUGGGUAUAGUCUCGCUGCUUAUGAGCUUCUUUGUGUUGUAGUUGCUUACCCAGGCUUAGACGGAUAGCCUGCCUUGGAGGGUUAACAGCGACAAUGGGCCUACGAGACGGACCAGAAUCCAACGGGCGGCAGCAGUGGAGAACAUUGCACAAUGGGCCGAAGCGUGAUGCGGCAACGCCGCGUGCGGAAUGCCGGCCUUCGGGUUGUAAACAGAUUUCGCAUGUGAUGAAGAGUGAGUGACGGUAAUGGGUAAAGAAGCACCGGCUAACUACGUG
rnacentral:rRNA from 1 species